GCUAUGCAUCAUGUCUGGCUGGUUGUGGAUCUCCAGCCAGGCUGACACUUCUACAGCUAGGUCAGCCCGGGAGGCGAAAGGGCAGGAGGAGAAGGGGGGAGUGUUCAAAGCGAGCCCCCAGUGAGCCUCAAGCUCCUUCCUCCAGAUGCGGAGUUGCCUCUGAGAUGUAAACAGAAGGGACUGCUAUUGUGUCCGGCUUGGCUGGUGAUUUAGACACGUUAUUUGACUUCAGAGCAUUGCAGCAGCAUUGUCUGGCAACAGCAACAGAAGAAAGAGCAAGGAUAAAGGGGGG